AACGAACGCUGGCGGCAUGCCUAACACAUGCAAGUCGAACGAGACCUUCGGGUCUAGUGGCGCACGGGUGCGUAACGCGUGGGAACCUGCCCUUAGGUUCGGAAUAACUCCCCGAAAGGGGUGCUAAUACCGGAUAAUGUCUUCGGACCAAAGAUUUAUCGCCUUUGGAUGGGCCCGCGUUGGAUUAGCUAGUUGGUAGGGUAAAAGCCUACCAAGGCGACGAUCCAUAGCUGGUCUGAGAGGAUGAUCAGCCACACUGGGACUGAGACACGGCCCAGACUCCUACGGGAGGCAGCAGUGGGGAAUAUUGGACAAUGGGCGGAAGCCUGAACCCGCAAUGCCGCGUGAGUGAUGAAGGCCUUAGGGUUGUAAAGCUCUUUUACCCGGGAUGAUAAUGACAGUACCGGGAGAAUAAGCUCCGGCUAACUCCGUG
rnacentral:rRNA from 1 species